GUGAUAAAAGAGUGCUAUCUGGGAUGAGGAACAUUUCCCAGGGAUCUGGCAACCCAUGACGUGCCGCUCUAAAUGAAAGUGAAAGUAAAUGAAUAGACUUAAUGUUGCCAUUUUAAACAGACAUAAUCGGUGAUUUACAGAGUAUAUUUACAUCUUUAAUAUAAUCGAUGCUGACACAGGAAUUUGUGUGUAUAGCUACCUGAUGGAAAUGUGAAUCGAGUCAGUCGAGAUUAAACUUUUCAGAUUCAUCAUGGACGACACUCAAACAUCUGGAGAUGAAGAUUUUUUUCCAGGAUGCAGCCCAGAUCAUCAGAAGAGAUCAGAAGCAGAGCCCAGCUGAGAGUGUGU